rnacentral:rRNA from 1 species
AGAGUUUGAUCCUGGCUCAGAUUGAACGCUGGCGGCAUGCCUUACACAUGCAAGUCGAACGGCAGCACGGGAGCAAUCCUGGUGGCGAGUGGCGAACGGGUGAGUAAUAUAUCGGAACGUGCCCAGUCGUGGGGGAUAACGCAGCGAAAGCUGUGCUAAUACCGCAUACGAUCUAUGGAUGAAAGCGGGGGACCUGUAAGGGCCUCGCGCGAUUGGAGCGGCCGAUAUCAGAUUAGCUAGUUGGUGAGGUAAAGGCUCACCAAGGCGACGAUCUGUAGCUGGUCUGAGAGGACGACCAGCCACACUGGAACUGAGACACGGUCCAGACUCCUACGGGAGGCAGCAGUGGGGAAUUUUGGACAAUGGGGGCAACCCUGAUCCAGCCAUUCCGCGUGAGUGAAGAAGGCCUUCGGGUUGUAAAGCUCUUUCGGCAGGAACGAAACGGUCCGCUCUAACAUAGCGGGCUACUGACGGUACCUGCAGAAGAAGCACCGGCUAACUACGUGCCAGCAGCCGCGGUAAUACGUAGGGUGCGAGCGUUAAUCGGAAUUACUGGGCGUAAAGCGUGCGCAGGCGGAUUGUUAAGCAAGACGUGAAAUCCCCGGGCUUAACCUGGGAAUGGCGUUUUGAACUGGCAGUCUAGAGUGCGUCAGAGGGGGGGUGGAAUUCCACGUGUAGCAGUGAAAUGCGUAGAGAUGUGGAGGAACACCGAUGGCGAAGGCAGCCCCCCUGGGAUGACACUGACGCUCAUGUACGAAAGCGUGGGUAGCAAACAGGAUUAGAUACCCUGGUAGUCCACG